UUUACCCUGACCUAAUUAAAGUAUCGGUCAGAUUGAAUCUUUUCUGUUUCUUUUAGAUCUAAUUGUUGAACGUCAAAAGGGGAAAGAUUUAUGGCAACUGCUUUUCACCUAGAAGCCUUCCCUGCUUUCCUUUCUAGGAGCCCUUCCACACAGCUAUAUAACCCAGAAUAUCAAGGUCAGGGUUGGUCACCCACUGGAACAACUCAUUUAUGAUUCACAAGGACAGAUUCUUGACAAGAGGCAAAAAUAAACUGAGCUGGAUAUGUAUGUGGAUGGCAAACAAAGAGGAGGGAUGCUGAAAGCAGAAUCAGAAACUUAACAUUUAAUUAUAGCCGAUUAUAAUGA